rnacentral:rRNA from 1 species
GGGCGUAAGCGCGCGUAGGCGGUUUCUUAAGUCUGAUGUGAAAGCCCUCGGCUCAACCGUGGAGGGUCAUUGGAAACUGGGAAACUUGAGUACAGAAGAGGAAAGUGGAAUUCCAUGUGUAGCGGUGAAAUGCGCAGAGAUAUGGAGGAACACCAGUGGCGAAGGCGACUUUCUGGUCUGUAACUGACGCUGAUGUGCGAAAGCGUGGGGAUCAAACUAGAUUAGAUACCCUGGUAGUCCGCGCCGAAAACGAUGAGGGCUAAGUG